rnacentral:rRNA from 1 species
UACGGAGGGGGCUAGCGUUGUUCGGAAUUACUGGGCGUAAAGCGCACGUAGGCGGCUUUGUAAGUUAGAGGUGAAAGCCCAGGGCUUAACCCUGGAAUUGCCUUUAAGACUGCAUCGCUAGAAUUGUGGAGAGGUAAGUGGAAUUCCGAGUGUAGAGGUGAAAUUCGUAGAUAUUCGGAAGAACACCAGUGGCGAAGGCGACUUACUGGACACAUAUUGACGCUGAGGUGCGAAAGCGUGGGGAGCAAACAGA